GUGUCACUUUUGUGUUGGCCUCUAUUAGUUGCUUUUUACUGGUGGCCUCUGGUGGUGGCAUUUUAUUUGUGGACAUCUUUCCCUGUCCUUGUCUCUGACAGGUAAAACCUUUGCCACCUUUGCAAAUUGACUGGGAUAAAACAAGUUCUUCUGGAGUACUUACCUGUUACCUCCUGCCUCAGCAAGGCAAAACAGAGCAAGAGGACAUUUGGGAGGAAGAUGCCAGCCACAAUAUGGAGAAAGAAGGAUGUCACGAGGAAACUGAGCAUGCAGACUUUCAGCAAAGAAUAAAUAAUCUAGAAAACAUGGAUAUUAAAUCACAUGAAUUGUUGUUCUAUGGAGGUGGGAUCCGAGGGUGAAUGUAGACUGUGGUAAUGAAAAGGAACAGGAGGAUAACAAGAAUAAUGGCAUCGGGACAAUUUUUAUCGAUAAACAAGGGAUAUAUUGUGAAAUAUUGGAGAACAAAGCAUGUGGACUGAGGAAAGGUGAGCACGAUGAUGAGAGGAAGAACAAAAGAGAUGACGGGAAGGCAAGUGUUGGAAAAGGGAAAACGUUGAGCACAGUAGAUUGUGAAAAAGAGAGUGACAUUGAGGGAGGAAUGGAGAAAUCGAUCGAAGGAAAAGAGGAAAGGGAAAUAGAGGGAGAAAUAAAGAGUAUGCUGGAGGACAACAUGGAGAGUUUGAGUGAGGACGAUGGAAAACACAAAGCUAAAGAAGAGUUAAUUGAUGGACAAAGUAAAUCAAGUGAUGUCGAAUUCGAAGAAGACGAAGAUAUCGGAAGUAUUCCUGAAGGAGGUGAAGAAGAGGAGAGAGAAGAAAGCAUUGAUAAGCGGCGAAGAGUGAAAGUCACAUUUUUUACAGAGAGCAACAUUUCAGAUAAGGUGUCUACCUUGAAUCGACCUCCAACCCCUCAUCCACGAGAAUCAUGCCAGGACCUUUUGUCCUCAGUACCGGUCGUGGAAAAUGUGGAGCAGGUAAACGUGCACAAUUCGGUACAAAUGAUGGCGAAUGAAUGUGCCUCCACAACCCAGGCACCAAGAGAUUAUCUGCUUUCAGUUGAUAAUCACUGUCUAAUGCAUCACGAGGCACACAGCUCAAACCACCAUGAUUUAUCGCAAACAUUUUCCAUCUGUCAGACACCUUAUCUGCUGCAACCGGUGGAAGACGACUGGGAAAGUGAUUCUGAUGAGGUAUCUCAUAAACUUGUGGUGACUAUUUAUCAUGUUCCUGUUCGAUCUUACUUGAAAGACGAGUUAGGAACUUUCCUUCCCAACUUCCUUUUCCUCAAUACAUUUUGAAGGAGAUGAAUUCUGGAUUUCAAAGCAGACCUUCAGUUUUUCCUUUCUAUUGUGAUAACAUUAUUACUACUCAUACUGUAUGGUGGCUUUCUGUGUCACAGUACAGAUAUUUUAAAAUUGAAAGCGAUAAAGUGUCCUGACAUUGGAAUUAAAAAGCAAAUGCGAUAGGUUUUGUUUUCCCAAGGUAUGCAUUGUGCUUGGCAGGAAAUGCCUGUGGCGGAUCUACUACCAGCAACCAUCACUCGACCAGCUCCACGUCUCCUGCAUCUUGCACCUCGUAUGACAGAGCAUGCCUUACAUCACACUCACACCAGCCUUGUUUUGCUUUUUCUUCAUUUAGAACAUAUUUUUACUCUUAACUUUAUUUUCUUUCUUUGCACUGAAUAUUCUUGCAACUUUUAGUGCAAGAAAUUACAAGGAAACUUAGGAACAGAAGCAAUGACUGUUUGGCCUUUUUUGUCACAAGAUUAAUGAUGUCCUCCUCAAACAGGCCUUUUUUGCUUUGAAGGAUUAGCAUAGCAGAAAUUACAAAGCAAGGGGGUAUUUGGAAAUGUGGAUAUUUAGAAAAGACAGGCUUAUUGUGGGCUGGCAGGAUAGCCUAGAGGUAUGCACACUUGCAUCUGAAGCUGUCCAGCAACUGGGUUAGAAUAUCGGCCGAGCUAUAAACUGUCAUUCCGGUGUUUCAUCGGCAGGGUGAUUCAUCAUUGUGUGUGCCGUCCCUCAGAUGGACAUUAAAACAGGUGUUCCAUCUGCCGGCAUUAGUUGGCGGAUGUUAAAGAUCCCACGGUGUCCUUCACGAAGAGUAGGCAAACUAUUGCUAACACCAUGGCCAAAUUCUAAAUUCCUAUGCUUAUUUGUGACCAUAAACCAGAUACAGUUAUCAUACAAGACACCUCCUGACUUGGUGAAGAAUCUAAGCACAGAUCGUGUCUCACAACAGCCAAAACUACACAACUAGUGAGCAACAAUGGUCGUCUGUCACCUAACCUGUGUCAGAGUGGCAACCCAUCCAAGAUUGUAACCCUACUCAUAGAAACUGCUUCGACAGCACCAACGCUCUGUGCAAAGCAUGGCUCAUUAUCUGAGUGUUAUUGUCCUGAUUUCAUGAAGGAAUUAAUUAGAUCUUGCAUAGCGUAUAUUAUUGUCGCACAGAUAUGAUGUGGAAUAAUCAUCUGAGGAAAAAACAUGCACCUCAUCAUGUUUCUGAUGCAUUACAUUCAUAGAUAAGGGCAAUAAUUUAUAACUUGGCGAGUUACUUGCUCUUUUCGAAAGGUGCCAUUGCAUCUUUAACAUCAACAAGUGAAUGCCAGCAGAAGUAACAGCCAGCUUAACACUCCCCUUCAAAGGAUAGCUUCUUAUUAAUGCAACACACUGCUUAUGAAGCACUAGUGUGUCAGUUUAUAGCUGGGUCAGAAGUGGAGCCCAGACUUGGACAGCCAAAGACAAGUGGAUUACUUAUUCUCCUUCUUGUUGUACAAUAUUUACUUAAGGAUCAUACUACAGCUUGUACGUAAAUCACUGAAGGGCAAAGACCGUAGAAGACGUCGUUGCACUUUUAUAUGAAUUAUGAGGAUAUUAUUAGAGCAAUAGGUACAUGCAUCACAUUAAUUGCAUUAGUCAGCAGCAUUAAACAAAACACCAGAAUGACAGUUUGUUGUCGGGCUGGGAUUCCAACCCAGACGCGAUAAUUCAAAAACGAGCAGAUGCUCCGUCUGAGCUAUAUCCCAUCAACUCCUUGUCCGAUUAAAUCCAUUUUUUCAGGGUGUGUUGGAGUUAGGUUGAGAAGAGGCAGGUUCCUUUCGAAAAUGGGCAUGCUGCGAUUUUCAAUGUGGCCUCCAUGGCAGCCAUCUUGAAAUUGCUUUCCGUCGAUUUCGAGGAGAACGCCUUGUCCGAUUAAAGCCAUUUUUACAGGGUGUGUUGGGGUUGAGUAGAGGAAGGUUCCUUUUGAAAAUGGGCGUGCUGCGAUUUUCACUGUGGCCGCCAUGGCAGUCGUCUUGAAAUUGGUUUUCGUCAAGUUCAAGAACGGCUUGGCUUGUCCGAUUAAAUGCAUUUUUGCAGUGUGUGCGUGUGUGAGUUGAGUAGAGGAAGGUUCCUUUGGAAAAUGGGCGCGCUGCGAUUUUCACUAGCCACUACGAUAGCCAUCUUGAAGUCUGAUUGAUUUUUGAUACGACGUCCAAUGUGCUCUAACUGACUGCAUCAUCGUGAUAUCACUGCUUCCUUUUACAAUGCAUGGGCUGAGGGGUUACGCCCGCUUUGCUGAGCUAUUUUUAUGAUUGUGGUCUUUUUAUUUUUAUAAUAAAACCCUAAUAUCUUUGGCAUUUUACAAAUUUUGUUAUAGUUUUGAUAAGGCAAUGUUACUGAAACACAAAAUCUUCACCCCGUUGCACCAAUGGAGUCCCUAUCUACAACGCUUGUUUUCGUCAAAGUAGGCAUAUUGGGAGAGAAGACAUAACCAGGAGUUCACACAAUUUUUUUAUUUGGUUCUCCAAUAAGUACCAGCAGAAAUGGUUUGGUACUCACGAGAAAAAAAUGUCAGCUUUGAGCGUGCUCAUCUGCUUUCCCAAGCGCCACUCAGCUUCGUAUGCAUCUCUGUAACCACUCUCUUAGAACGUCCGCUCCAGACGAGACACUCACAAGCCGCUCUUUUUACAUUCCGGACACUCCUGAACCUUCUCUUCUUCGUCCUUGCUCGCAUGUU
rnacentral:lncRNA from 1 species